CAGAGAUUCUGAUGUGCUGAAGUCUGAGAACCACAGAUCCAAGGGGCCCUGAAGACACCGACCGUGUAAUGGUGGCCAAGGGAAUAAAGCCUGUUACCUUCAGAGCCGGGGGGAGGGGCAAAGGCAGCCACCAGGGUGGACCUUUGCUCAGGAGAGACUUCAUGCCCAAGAGGAACAUUUGAGGGAGACAGACAUGGGAUCCAGAAAGGUCACACUGAGGCCCAGAGUGAUGCCGAACUCCUCCUCUUCCCAAUCCCGGAAGCUGCCUGUGCCUCUUGGCCCCGAGUUCCUCCCACUCAGAGCAGCGUCCUCAGCUAAAGGGCCCAUGAGGGAUGCUAUGCAUUAAGUGGGAUUGAUGACAUCCGUAUACCAGCGAUGUGGGAAGCCACCUCAGUCUUCUGUGUGGAAAUCCACGAUGCCGUGAUUCUUAUUUGCAUCCUAAAUCAAGCAUCCCCUCCUUGAAGAAGCCAGUGGAGGCCCGGAGCAUGGACAGGGUGUUCUCAUUUCCCCAGAGUCUGGAGAGAGCGAGAGCUGGGAUUCCAUUCCAGCUAAACAUCCUAUUAUUCAUGCUGGGCAGCUCUUUCCUAAUAAAACCCCAAACCAUGUAAA